GUCCAUGUAGUAUAUAAAUUACACUGGUCUUGUAAGCCAGAAAAGGGGAUAUGUCCCCCAUAGACU
rnacentral:tRNA from 1 species